UUUUAGGGUUCUCUGGUCUCCUCAUUGUGCAUGCUGUGUGUCUUCAGUCUGGUCCUCACAGCGCCUGCAAUGUGGAGGCCAGGGGACUC
ensembl:miRNA